GAUGAACGCUAGCGGCAGGCCUAAUACAUGCAAGUCGAGGGAGAAUGUUGGAUUCGUCUGACAUGAAACCGGCGCACGGGUGCGUAACACGUAUGCAACCUACCUUUAACUGGGGUAUAGCUCAGAGAAAUCUGAAUUAAUCCCCCAUAAGACUACGACAUGGCAUCAUGAUGUAGUUAAAGCUCCGGCGGUUAAGGAUGGGCAUGCGGUACAUUAGCUAGUUGGUGAGGUAAUGGCUCACCAAGGCUACGAUGUAUAGGGGGUCUGAGAGGAUGAUCCCCCACACUGGUACUGAGACACGGACCAGACUCCUACGGGAGGCAGCAGUAGGGAAUAUUGGUCAAUGGACGAAAGUCUGAACCAGCCAUGCCGCGUGAAGGAUGAAGGCCCUAUGGGUCGUAAACUUCUUUUAUUAGGGAAGAAAAAUCGGGAUGCGUCCUGUACUGACGGUACUUAAUGAAUAAGGAUCGGCUAACUUCGUGCCAGCAGCCGCCGUAA
rnacentral:rRNA from 1 species